UCUACGGGUGUCAGCAGUGGGGAAUAAUGGGCAAUGGAGGCAACUCUGACCCAGCAAUGCCGCGUGAAUGAAGAAGGUCUUCGGAUUGUAAAGUUCUUUCAUCAGGGACGAAGAAGAUGACGGUACCUGAGGAAUAAGCCACGGCAAACUCUUUGCCAACAGCCGCGGUAAUACAUAGGUGGCAAGCGUUGUCCGGAAUGACUGGGCGUAAAGGGAGCGAAGGAGGUCGGUUAAGUUGGAAGUGAAAUCCCGGGGCUCAACCCCGGAACUACUUUCAGGAUUGACGGAAGUGUGUGUAAGGGGGGUAAGCGGAAUUCCUAGUGUAGCGGUGGAAUGCGUAGAUAGUAGGAGGCACACCAGUGGCGAAGGCGGCUUACUGGAUUAUAACUGACGCUGAGGCUAGAAAGCGUGGGUAGCAAACAGGAUUAGAUACCCUGGUAGUC
rnacentral:rRNA from 1 species